AGGACGAACGCUGGCGGCGUGCUUAACACAUGCAAGUCGAGCGGAAAGGCCCUUCGGGGUACUCGAGCGGCGAACGGGUGAGUAACACGUGAGUAACCUGCCCUCCACUCUGGGAUAAGCCCGGGAAACUGGGUCUAAUACCGGAUAUGACUGCGGAUCUCAUGGUCUGUGGUGGAAAGUUUUUCGGUGGGGAUGGACUCGCGGCCUAUCAGCUUGUUGGUGGGGUGAUGGCCUACCAAGGCGACGACGGGUA
rnacentral:rRNA from 1 species